UUUGGUGGCGAUGGCGAAGAGGUCACACCCGUUCCCAUGCCGAACACGGAAGUUAAGCUCUUCAGCGCCGAUGGUAGUUGGGGGUUUCCCCCUGCGAGAGUAGGACGCCGCCAAGC
rnacentral:rRNA from 1 species